rnacentral:tRNA from 2 species
GCCGCUGUGGCGAAAUCGGCAGACGCAAGGGACUUAAAAUCCCUCGGUAGCAAUACCGUACCGGUUCAAGUCCGGUCAGCGGCACCA